UCGCGCACUGAUAGUUGGACUACGGGACGGUAUCCCGGGAGAUCAUUCGGACAUACACAUAUGAUGGACUACGGGACUGUAUCCCGAGAUCCUUGGACAGUUGAUGAAAUGGACUACAGGAAGGUAUCUUGGGAGAUCCUCGUUGUUGUUACUGAUCUAGGUACCUCCACCCAGGCGUAUCACCCCCGAGGCGGAGAGAUCUAGCAAAGACUUCAAGGUACAUCUGCCGCAUCCGCAGACCAAGGAGUCUAUAUCUUAUUCUACCUCUUAGUAGUUAGCCUUCAUUUCGUACUGUUGUUUUUAGACAUUCUAGAGUUAGAGCAGUGUAUUACAUUCUGUUAGCUUGUGUUCCCGUGAGUUUCCGGGUGUUGGGGGAUGAUAUUGUAGACUUUCGCGAUAUUGAGUUGUAUAUGCCAAGCGGCAUUUAUAUACAACUUUUCUUCUA